rnacentral:rRNA from 1 species
CGCGUAGGCGGUUUACACAGUCAGAUGUGAAAUUCCAGGGCUUAACCUUGGGGCUGCAUUUGAUACGUGUAGACUAGAGUGUGAGAGAGGGUUGUGGAAUUCCCAGUGUAGAGGUGAAAUUCGUAGAUAUUAGGAGGAACACCAGUGGCGAAGGCGACUUUCUGGACUGUAACUGACGCUGAGGCGCGAAAGCGUGGGGAGCAAACAGGAUUAGAUACCCGCGUA